CCUACGGGGCGCAGCAGUGGGGAAUAUUGGACAAUGGGCGAAAGCCUGAUCCAGCCAUGCCGCGUGUGUGAAGAAGGCCUUCGGGUUGUAAAGCACUUUCAGUGGGGAAGAAAGCCUUGGGGCUAAUACCCUCGAGGAAGGACAUCACCCACAGAAGAAGCACCGGCUAACUCCGUGCCAGCAGCCGCGGUAAUACGGAGGGUGUGAGCGUUAAUCGGAAUUACUGGGCGUAAAGCGCGCGUAGGCGGUCUGAUAAGCCGGUUGUGAAAGCCCCGGGCUCAACCUGGGAACGGCAUCCGGAACUGUCAGGCUAGAGUGCAGGAGAGGAAGGUAGAAUUCCCGGUGUAGCGGUGAAAUGCGUAGAGAUCGGGAGGAAUACCAGUGGCGAAGGCGGCCUUCUGGACUGACACUGACGCUGAGGUGCGAAAGCGUGGGUAGCAAACAGGAUUAGAUACCCUAGUAGUC
rnacentral:rRNA from 1 species